rnacentral:lncRNA from 1 species
CUUUAUGUAUGUAUGUACUGGUAAAUGCCUCCGAUAUCCGAAGAACCCCUCGAAAGCUGCGAGGGUACAGUGGCAUCCAUGUACACUCCCUAACGGGAUUAAUGGAGAUGUGUCACUAACGUAUAUUUAUACGACAAUUAUUUUUACAAGGACAACCAAUCCCCACCCAAUUCAACACAAAGGGAGUGCUAGGACACCGGGAAGUCUGUUAUUGUGGUGGAGGAAGCCGAAGUACUCGGAGAGAACCACCGGGCCACUCGGUGGAAACAGACAAACCAGAGAGAUAUCAGAAGAUUGAUCUCCAGGUCAAAGUAGGGACACUUUGACCAACCGAGGCCCCCAACGUACCCAUUCUAGUUUAAACUCCGGUCUGGGUACCAGAGAUGUGUGUGAGAGGGUGAAAAUUACCCUUCUAAUGUACUGAGAUUUUUAGCACCCCGAGUGAGAAUCGAACUCGGGACCUUCAGCACUGUAGCCAUCGGUCUUAACCACUAGACCACGAACUCACACUUUAAUAAAAGUAUGAAAUAUAUUUUUGGUAUUGUUUGGAAAUAUUUGUUUUGUGUUUCUUUUUCUGAUUAUGGUCAGCAUUGUCUGGUUGUAUGCUAGCGUGUGCCGUUGAUUCUAGUGCGGUAGGUCGUGGGUUCGAACCCUGGUAGGUCAAACCAAUGACUUAAAAAUUGGUAGAACAAUGUGUCCAGGUAGGUUGACAUGUCUUCCACCGGAAUGUUUACAGAGAAUGCUUAUAACAUGUUCUCGUCUUCUAGAAGCUUAUAACUUGCUGCUGGACAUAAAUAUAUACAUGUAUGUACAUAAGAACUAGUGUUGAAGCUUUUCGAUAGUACAGGUCACAGGACAAUCGGAAAGUUUUGGUUGACC